GACGAACGCUGGCGGCGUGCCUAAUACAUGCAAGUUGAGCGCUGAAGGUUGGUACUUGUACCGACUGGAUGAGCAGCGAACGGGUGAGUAACGCGUGGGGAAUCUGCCUUUGAGCGGGGGACAACAUUUGGAAACGAAUGCUAAUACCGCAUAAAAACUUUAAACACAAGUUUUAAGUUUGAAAGAUGCAAUUGCAUCACUCAAGGAUGAUCCCGCGUUGUAUUAGCUAGUUGGUGAGGUAAAGGCUCACCAAGGCGAUGAUACAUAGCCGACCUGAGAGGGUGAUCGGCCACAUUGGGACUGAGACACGGCCCAAACUCCUACGGGAGGCAGCAGUAGGGAAUCUUCGGCAAUGGACGAAAGUCUGACCGAGCAACGCCGCGUGAGUGAAGAAGGUUUUCGGAUCGUAAAACUCUGUUGGUAGAGAAGAACGUUGGUGAGAGUGGAAAGCUCAUCAAGUGACGGUAACUACCCAGAAAGGGACGGCUAACUACGUG
rnacentral:rRNA from 1 species